rnacentral:rRNA from 1 species
CCUGGCGACUGUUUAACAAAAACACAGCUCCCUGCGAACACGUAAGUGGAUGUAUAGGGGGUGACGCCUGACCAAUGCCGGAAGGUUAAAUACGGAGGGUCUAAUGACUUUUAGUUGUUAGGCUGGACUGUAUAAGCCCCGGUCAAUGUCAGCGAUAACUAUAAUCGUUCUAAGGUAGCGUAUUUCCUUGUCGGGUAAGUUCCGACGUGCACGAAUGGCGUAACGACUGGGAAACUGUCUCAAGGACCUGCUCGGUGAAAAUACAAUCCCGGUAAAGAUGCCGGGUACCUGCAGUUAGACGAAAAGACCCCAGGAGCUUUACUGUAGCUUCAUAUUGGGGCUAUUGAAUUAAUGCGUAGUAUAGUGGGGAGACUUUGAAGCGGGCUUUCGGGUACCGUGGAGUCGCCAGUGAAAUACCCAUCUUUAUUUUGGUAGUCUCUAACCAGCUAGGAAAAACCUAGUUGGAACAGUGUGUGGCAGGCAGUUUAAGUGGGGCGCUUCCCUCCUAAAGAGUAACGGAGGGGUUCCAAGGUCAACUAGGCGCGAAUGGAAACCGUGCCGAUAGUGUAAUGGCAUAAGUUGGCUUGACUGCAAGGCGUAGAUGCCGCGCAGACACGAAAGUGGGACAUAGUGAACCGAUGGUACGCUUUAGAUGCGGCCGGAGAUUACCCGAUAAAAGUUACCCUGGGGAUAACAGGCUAGUCGUGCCCAAGCGUCCAAAGCGACGGCACGGUUCGGCACCUCGAUGUCGGCUCGACUUAUCCUGGGGCUGGAGCAGGUCCCAAGGGUUUGGCUGU